rnacentral:rRNA from 1 species
AAAUUGAAGAAGUUGAUCAUGGCUCCAAAAGAUGAACGCUGGCGGCAGGCCUAACACGUAGAAUCGAACGGUAGCACAGGAAGCUUGCUCUCGGUGACGAGUGGCGGACGAAUUGUAGUAUGUCACAGGAAACUGCCUGAUGGAGGGAUAACUACCGCUGGAAACGGUGGCUAAUACCGCAUAACGUCGCAAGACCAAAAAGAGGGGGACCUUCAGACUCUUGCCAUCAGAUGUGCCCAGAUGGGAUUAGCUUGUUGUUGGUAACGAUGCACCAAGGCGACGACUCUAACUGGUCUGAGAGGAUGACCGGCCACACUGGAACAGAGACACGGUCCGAACUCUACACGGGAGGCAGCAGUGGGGAAUAUAUUGCACAAUGGGCGCAAGCCUGAUGCUGGCGCCAUGCCGCGUGUAUGAAAGAGGCCUUCGGGUUUGAAAGUACUUUCAGCGGGGAGGAAGGUGUUGUGGUUAAUAGCCACAGCAAUUGACGUUACCCGCAGAAAGCACCGGCUAACUCUCCGUGCCAGCAGCCGCGGUAAUACGGAGAGGUGCAAGCGUUAAUCAGGGUACUGGGCGUAAAGCGCGCAGGCGGUCUGUCAAGUCGGAUGUGGCCAAUCCCGGUAAAACACCAGAACUGCAUUUUGAAACUGGCGGAAGCGGAGUGUACAGCAGAGGGGUAAAUUCGGGUGUAGCGGUGAAAUGCGUAGAGAUCUGGAGGAAUUACCGGUGGCGAGCGGCCUGGACAAAGACGCUGACGCUCGAUUGCGAAAGCGUGGGGAGCAAGCAGGUUAGAUACCUGGUAGUCCACGCCGUAAACGUGUCUGCGGAGGUUGUGCCCCGCCAGAGGCGUGGCCUACCGGAGCUAACGCGUUAGGCGUGAACCGCACGGGGAGUACGGCCGCAAGGUUAAACUCAAAUAUCGAAUUGACGGGGGCCCGCAGCGGUGGAGCAUGGUUUAAUUCGAUGCAACGCAGAAGAACCUUACACGAAUGUCUUGACAUCCACAGAACUUUCCAGGAAUGGACUGGUGCCUUCGGGAACUGUGGGAACAGGUGCUGCAUGGCUGUCGUCAGCUCGUGUUGUGAAAUGUUGGGUUAAGUCCGCAACGAGCGCAGCCCACUUAUCCUUUGUUGCCAGCGAUUCGGCUGGGAACUCAAAGGAGACCACCGGUGAAUGUCAAACGCCAGGAGGAAGAAUUGGGGAUGACGUCAAGUCAUCAUGGCCGCCACAGCCGGGGCUACAUUUUCUAAUGGCGCGCAUACAAAGAGAAGCGCGACUCGCGAGAGCAAGCGGACCUCUAAAAUUGCGUCGUAGUCGGAUUGGAGUCUGCAACUCGACUCCAUGAAGUCGGAAUCGCUAGUAUCGUGGAUCCAGGAAUGCCACAGUGAAUACGUUGUUCCCGGGCCUUGUACACACCGCCCGUCACACCAUGGGGAGGUGGGUUGCAAAGAAGUAGGUAGCAACCUUCCGGGAGGGCGCUUACCACUUUGUGAUUCAUGACUGGGAGUGAAGUCGUAACAAAGGCCAACCGUAGGGGAACCUGCGGUUGGAUCCUCCUUA